rnacentral:tRNA from 1 species
GAUGCACGUGGGCGGGGACGGUCCGCCGCUGGAGCUGGACGAGGAGCUGCGGCCGCGCCGGCUGUUCGAGUCGACCGUGCACUC